AGCGAACGCUGGCGGCGUGCCUAACACAUGCAAGUCGAACGUGAAAGGGAGCGAUCCCAAGUAAAGUGGCGUACGGGUGAGUAACACGUAGGUAAUCUACCCCAGAAUCUGGAAUAACCGGCCGAAAGGCUGGCUAAUACUGGAUAGAGCGACGGAAUCCGUAAUUGGGUUUUUCGGGAAAGGGAGCCUGUAAAAAGGCCUUCGUUCUGGGAUGAGCCUGCGUCCCAUCAGCUAGUUGGUGAGGUAAAAGCUUACCAAGGCAAUGACGGGUAGCUGGUCUGAGAGGACGAUCAGCCACACUGGAACUGAAACACGGUCCAGACUCCUACGGGAGGCAGCAGUGGGGAAUCUUGCGCAAUGGACGAAAGUCUGACGCAGCAACGCCGCGUGAGUGAAGAAGGCCUUCGGGUUGUAAAGCUCUGUCGAGUGGGACGAAAAUGCUUGGAGUUCACAGCUCCAGGAACUGACGGUACCACUAAAGGAAGCACCGGCUAACUCCGUG
rnacentral:rRNA from 1 species